rnacentral:rRNA from 1 species
CAGUCGCCGCGGUAAUACGGAGGGAGCUAGCGUUGUUCGGAAUUACUGGGCGUAAAGCGCGCGUAGGCGGUUACUCAAGUCAGAGGUGAAAGCCCGGGGCUCAACCCCGGAACUGCCUUUGAAACUAGGUGACUAGAAUCUUGGAGAGGUCAGUGGAAUUCCGAGUGUAGAGGUGAAAUCCGUAGAUAUUCGGAAGAACACCAGUGGCGAAGGCGACUGACUGGACAAGUAUUGACGCUGAGGUGCGAAAGCGUGGGGAGCAAACAGGAUUAGAUACCCCCGUAGUCCCUGUCUCUUAUAC